rnacentral:rRNA from 1 species
AAAGCUUGGUCCUGACUUUACCGUCAGCUUUAACCUGAUUUACACAUGCAAGUAUCCGCACCCCUGUGAGAAUGCCCUCAUUCCCCCGCCCGGGGACGAGGAGCUGGCAUCAGGCACGCUCAAGCUGCCCAAGACGCCUUGCUUUGCCACACCCCCAAGGGAACUCAGCAGUGAUAAACAUUAGGCAUAUAAGUGCAAACUUGACCUAGUCAAGGGUAAUAGAGCCGGUUAAACUCGUGCCACCACCGCGGUAUACCAAAAGCUCUAUUUGACGAACUACGC